CCCGCUGAACUUAAGCAUAUCAAUAAGCGGAGGAAAAGAAACCAACAGGGAUUGCCUCAGUAACGGCGAGUGAAGCGGCAACAGCUCAAAUUUGAAAUCUGGCUCUUUUAGGGUCCGAGUUGUAAUUUGUAGAAGAUGCUUCGAGUGUGGCUCUAGCCUAAGUUCCUUGGAACAGGACGUCAUAGAGGGUGAGAAUCCCGUAUGCGGCUGGUGGCUUUCGCUCAUGUGAAGCUCUUUCGACGAGUCGAGUUGUUUGGGAAUGCAGCUCAAAAUGGGUGGUAAAUUUCAUCUAAAGCUAAAUAUUGGCCAGAGACCGAUAGCGCACAAGUAGAGUGAUCGAAAGAUGAAAAGCACUUUGGAAGGAGAGUUAAACAGUACGUGAAAUUGUUGAAAGGGAAACGCUUGAAGUCAGUCACGUUGGCCAGAAAUCAACUUGUAACAGGGCGUAAUUUCUGGUUUUACGGGUCAACAUCAAUUUUGAUUGUUGGAUAAAAGUCAAUAUUUAUGCGUUUUCGGACGUGUAGCCUUUGAUUGCAUACAAUGGUUGGGAUUGAGGAACUCAGCACGCCGCAAGGCCGGGUAACUUGUUACCACGUAACGUGCUUAGGAUGUUGGCAUAAUGGCUUUAAUCGACCCGUCUUGAAACACGG
rnacentral:rRNA from 1 species